rnacentral:rRNA from 1 species
CCUACGGGGGGCAGCAGUGGGGAAUAUUGCGCAAUGGGCGAAAGCCUGACGCAGCGACGCCGCGUGAGGGAUGAAGGUCUUCGGAUCGUAAACCUCUGUCAGCAGGGAAGAACGGUCACUGUGCUAAUCAGCAGUGAAUUGACGGUACCUGCAAAGGAAGCACCGGCUAACUCCGUGCCAGCAGCCGCGGUAAUACGGAGGGUGCGAGCGUUAAUCGGAAUUACUGGGCGUAAAGCGCUCGUAGGCGGUAUGUCAAGUCAAGGGGGAAAUCCCCGCGCUCAACGUGGGAACUGCCUUUGAAACUGGCAAACUGGAGUGUGUGAGAGGAUAGUGGAAUUCCAGGUGUAGGAGUGAAAUCCGUAGAUAUCUGGAGGAACAUCAGUGGCGAAGGCGACUAUCUGGCACAUAACUGACGCUGAGGAGCGAAAGCGUGGGUAGUAAACAGGAUUAGAUACCCCGGUAGUC